CAAUAGCGUAUAUUAAAGUUAGUUGCGGUUAAAAAGACUCGUAGUUGGAUUUCUUGCCGAGGACGACCGGUCCGCCCUCCUGGGUGAGCAUCUGGCUCGGCCUGGGCAUCUUCUUGGAGAACGUAUCUGCACUUGACUGUGUGGUGCGGUAUUCAGGACUUUUACUUUGAGGAAAUUAGAGUGUUUCAAGCAGGCAUACGCCUUGAAUACAUUAGCAUGGAAUAAUAAGAUAGGACCUCGGUUCUAUUUUGUUGGUUUCUAGAUCUGAGGUAAUGAUUAAUAGGGAUAGUUGGGGGCAUUCGUAUUUAAUUGUCAGAGGUGAAAUUCUUGGAUUUAUAGAAAGACUAACUACUGACGAAGCUAUUUGCCAAGGAUUGUUUUCAUUAAUCAAGAACGAAAGUUAGGGGAUCAAAGACGAUCAGAUACCGU
rnacentral:rRNA from 1 species